rnacentral:rRNA from 1 species
CGACCCCAGGUCAGGCGGGACUACCCGCUGAAUUUAAGCAUAUCAAUAAGCGG